UUACGGCCACAGCACGCUGAAAUACCGGUUCCCGUACGAUCAGCGAAGUUAAGCAACGUCGAGCCUGAUCAGUACCUAGAUGAGUGAUCACUUGG